AGCGAAUCNCAAAACUACGGUCUCAGUUCAGAUUGCAGGCUGCAACUCGCCUGCAUGAAGUUGGAAUUGCUAGUAAUCGCGGAUCAGCAUGCCGCGGUGAAUACGUUCCCGGGCCUUGUACACACCGCCCGUCACACCAUGGGAGUCGGUAACACCCGAAGCCUGUAGUCUAACCGCAAGGAGGACGCAGUCGAAGGUGGGAUUGAUGACUGGAGUGAAGUCGUAACAAGGUAUC
rnacentral:rRNA from 1 species